rnacentral:piRNA from 1 species
UAACUUAAACUUCUUCCUAUUCAUACU